UCCACUUGACGUCCUUUUAUUGUUAUUGACAAUUUCUAUCAAUGUCACCAAAGGGGAGAUGAAAUCCUCUCUACAUAGAUAAGUUAUUUUUCAACGAACCAUUUCAAGAAGCAUAUUUACCCCAACCACCAGUGGUACAUUCUUUAAUUCCACCGUAUGAUUUCUUCGUAGGGUUGAUAGCUUGAUAUGGCAUAAUGACAAAAUCAUACCGUAGAAAUCAUUUCAAUACGUUUAAUCACUUCUAGGACAACGUAAAUCAUUCCAAUGUACUGAAUCCAAAGGAGUUCCCUAUGAACUUCAAUGAACCACUUCAAGAAGCAUACUUAUCUCAACCACCCUCAAUACAUUCUUUAGUUGUUUGUUUCUAUUUCUCGAGUGGACUAUUGCUUAGAUACUAUUACCUACCUCUGUAGCUGGAUUGCCAAUCUCCUCAAAUGUAACAUCUUCAGAUCCAGUUAAAAUAGGAAACAAAUUGCACUAUAUAUGUAUCAUAUCCCUAGAAAUAUUAAAGAAAACAUAACUAGCAUUGAUAGUCUUGUUUUUAACGAGAUGAUCUUAUUGUUACCAGUGUUCACAAGCACAUCAUCAAUUUCUUCUCCUGCACUUUCAUCAGCUUCAAUAUUACGGAUGCAACUGUCACAUCGUCACCGCUUAUGUUUUGCAAUGUCUAGUGGAGGAAGUUGCUCCUCGGGGUUACGAAUAAUUGAUCCAUCAAAAGGUGAACAAAUAUUCAUGUCCUUCUUUCUCAUCUCAGCAAACAGAUCGUCUAUAUCACACGAAAAAUGACCAACACAUAUAUUGGAUUAUUUCCUUGUCCGAUGAGUUAAUUUUUCAAGCGAUCACUCAACUACUAGUUAUUAUUUAGAAUUAUCCAGAGGGGAUUUGUGUGCCCAGAAAUGUCGGGGGCUGACAACACUAGAAGAAAUUACUUCACAUUUGCGAGGUAAACUUACCUCCUUCGCCAAGUUGUUGUAUAGCUACCACGAAUUUGGCAUGAAGAUCCUCCGUCCAUUGUGCACGCCCUUCGCCUAACAGUCUUGCACUUCUUAUAUUUUUCCCUCAUUAAUCUCAUUUAUCCCAAGGCAAGUUGGGGCUCAAGGAAGUGUUCAUCAUCCAGGUACUUUUAAAAUUUUUUAUCAUAAUGUUCAAUUACAUCAGAAAUUUUAAAUGAAUGUAUGAUUUUCUUGACACUUUGAACAUGGUGAACAUAGCAUUAAAGAACAUAGCAUCCCCUAUUUUCUUGCUUUUUGUUCUAGUUUUUGUAUUCAGUCCAUUAUUAAUCAUACAAUGGUAUACUUAAUUUCUUUCCAGUUCCUCCGAUACGAGUGAUGUACAAGAAUCAGUUACUCCGGAGUACACCCAAAAACUUUCGGAUACGAGUGAUGUACAAGAAUAAGUUACAAGAGUACACCCAAAAACUUGCGAAACAGCUUCCAAGUUAUCAAACAAACAAUGAAGGUUCUCCACAUAUGCCAAAGUUUAGAAAAACAGUAUUAGUUAACUAGUUCUGGUACUUUUGUUAACUCGAAUGCUGCUAAUGCUGGGACAAUGGCAAGAUGACCUACUGUUAAUGCAAGAUAUGUUGAAGAUUUAGUCCUUCGUCAACCAAACGCUACAAUCGAUCCAACAUUUUUCUAAUAUUGCCGUGUCCGGCAUUUGUCUUUUAUGACGUCUUACUUAACUUACUAAUCUACAAAUGUUAAACAACCAUUAUAUAAAGGGAAAAAGGCUUAAAUAUGUCACUGAACUAUCAGAAAUGACUCAUUUAUGUCAUCCGUUAAAAGUUGGGCUCAUUUAUAUCAUUGCCAUUACAAAACUGGCUCAUUCAUACCAUUACUUUUAACACCCGAUUUUUAGAAAACAGCUUUUCCACGUGCUAAUAUAUGAUCCAUGCAUGCAUACAUAUAAAUAAUUAUCAAAAAAGAAUAAAUGAUAACGUACAUAUCCACACACAAUACUUUACUACAUACAUUUUGCAUGCAUACACACAAAGAGGGAGAGAAAAGUAAGGAAAAGAGAAUGCACCAACGGAAGAAAUUGUUCACAUUUUUGAAUUCUUUUUCUUUCCCAAUCAUAUACUUUUCGAAAUGAUAAGAAGGAUUAACCAUUUAAGGUCUUUGAAUUGAUCAUUUUAAUAUGGUCACCUUUUUCAUUUGGCAAAAUAUGAUAAGAAUACGAUUCCGUCCUUUAUUAUCAUUGCAUAUAAGGACUAGCAAUGGUUAUGAUGAACUAGAAUUUCAAGUUUGAAUAUUUGGGGUUCAUGUAUAAAUAAAUACCUAGAAGAUUGGUCAACUAUAUAUAUAUAUAUAUAUAUAUAUAUAUAAAAUCUAUAUAUAUAUGUAAUCUAUAUAUAUAAAAGUAUAGAAAUAUGUAAUCUAUAAACUUUGUAACCAACACCAUUUUUAAAAAGAAAAAAAAAUUAUAAUUUUUUUUUUAUAAAUUUAAAAAAUAAAAAUAAAAAAAUAUAAAAAUGACGUGGACCUCUAAUAUACUGCCACGUGGCAAAACUGUUUUCUAAAAAUAGGGUGUUAAAAGUAAUGGCAUGGAUGAGCCAGUUUUGUAACGGCGCUAGCAUAAAUGAGCUCAACUUUUAACGGAUGGCAUAAAUGAGUCAUUUCUGAUAGUUCAAUGGCAUAUUUGAGUCUUUUCCCUUAUAUAAAUAAGUUAAUUACUUAAAGUAUAUCACCUCCUUUAAUUACCUCAGGUCUUUUCAAAUUAAGGUCGAUGUAUAUUAAAGGAUAUCGCAUAUUUUAUGUGAUUAAGUUGUCUAUAUAAUAAAUGAUUGAAAAGAGGCACACAUGUUUUUCCAAUAAUUGAAUAAAAAGUGUCUACUAAUGCCAACAUUUUAUCAAGCGUUUAGGUGUUCAAUUAGAACAUACACUAAUUCGAGUUUCUAAAUAAAAUUGAGUGACAAGUUUAAACAAUGUUGAGCGCCUUUUUUUUCAAUUUGUUUUUCUUACUUUCCGUUUUAGUUAGUUUAAAAAAGAAUAUGCUUUUUUUUCGGCAACUCUUAAUUCUAGCUUUCUAUAUACAUGCUUUAGACCACAAAAUUGGAUAUUUUGGUACAUUCUACAUAUCUUAGUUGCACGACUAAACUUUAUGUCAAGUCAAAACUAGAUAAACAAAUUGAAACGAAUGAGUACAAUGGAAAACAAGAAAAGUAUCCUCUUUAGCCAAAUGCCUUUUCUUUAUUACUCCUUCAUAGGGCUGGGCAUAAAUUACUGAAAAUUGAAUUAUCGAAUCGAACCAAAAAAUUUGGUAAUUGGC
rnacentral:lncRNA from 1 species